rnacentral:rRNA from 1 species
AUUGAACGCUGGCGGCAGGCCUAACACAUGCAAGUCGAGCGGAUGACGGGAGCUUGCUCCUUGAUUCAGCGGCGGACGGGUGAGUAAUGCCUAGGAAUCUGCCUGGUAGUGGGGGACAACGUUUCGAAAGGAACGCUAAUACCGCAUACGUCCUACGGGAGAAAGCAGGGGACCUUCGGGCCUUGCGCUAUCAGAUGAGCCUAGGUCGGAUUAGCUAGUUGGUGGGGUAAUGGCUCACCAAGGCGACGAUCCGUAACUGGUCUGAGAGGAUGAUCAGUCACACUGGAACUGGGACACGGUCCAGACUCCUACGGGAGGCAGCAGUGGGGAAUAUUGGACAAUGGGCGAAAGCCUGAUCCAGCCAUGCCGCGUGUGUGAAGAAGGUCUUCGGAUUGUAAAGCACUUUAAGUUGGGAGGAAGGGCAGUAAGCUAAUACCUUGCUGUUUUGACGUUACCGACAGAAUAAGCACCGGCUAACUCUGUGCCAGCCGCCGCGGUAA